UACGUAGGUGGCAAGCGUUGUCCGGAUUUAUUGGGCGUAAAGCGAGCGCAGGCGGUUCCUUAAGUCUGAUGUGAAAGCCCACGGCUCAACCGUGGAAGGUCAUUGGAAACUGGUCGACUUGAGUGCAGAAGAGGGAAGUGGAAUUCCAUGUGUAGCGGUGAAAUGCGUAGAGAUAUGGAGGAACACCAGUGGCGAAGGCGGCUUCCUGGUCUGUAACUGACACUGAGGCGCGAAAGCGUGGGGAGCAAACAGGAUUAGAUACCCGU
rnacentral:rRNA from 1 species